ACGGAGGAUGCAAGCGUUAUCCGGAAUUAUUGGGCUUAAAGGGUGCGUAGGUGGUUUUUUAAGCGAGAGGUGAAAGACAAUAGCUUAACUAUUGUAAGCCUUGCGAACUGGAAGACUUGAGUACAGGUGAGGAAAGUGGAAUUUCUAGUGUAGCGGUGAAAUGCGUAGAUAUUAGGCGGAACACCAGUCGUGAAGGCGACUCGCUGGAUUGUAACUGACACUGAUGCACGAAAGCGUGGGGAUCAAACAG
rnacentral:rRNA from 1 species